rnacentral:tRNA from 1 species
ACCGCCUUGCCACGCUUCGGCCGGUGACCGGUUUCCUAAACCGUGUGUCGCAGGUUCGAUUCCUGCCGGGGGCA